rnacentral:rRNA from 1 species
UACGAAGGGGGCUAGCGUUGCUCGGAAUCACUGGGCGUAAAGAGCGCGCAGGCGGUCGUUCAAGUCGCGUGUGAAAGCCCCCGGCUCAACUGGGGAGGGUCACGCGAUACUGAUCGACUGGAAGGCAGGAGAGGGUAGUGGAAUUCCCGGUGUAGUGGUGAAAUGCGUAGAUAUCGGGAGGAACACCAGUGGCGAAGGCGGCUUCCUGGCCUGUUCUUGACGCUGAGGCGCGAAAGCUAGGGGAGCAAACGGGG